rfam:Agrilus planipennis Contig7923, whole genome shotgun sequence.
GUUUAGUGGUCAGAACAUUGGUGCGUAAAGCCAAAGGUCCCGGGUUCGAUUCCCGG